GAGUGCUCUUACUGUGAGUGGUAACCCCCUGAUCUUAACCUCUUGGUUAGGAAGCCCCAGUAAUGCUUCUCUGUGGUGCUUUAAAGCCAGGAUGUAAUGGAGCUGUAUCUAAUGGACUCUGUCCUGGUCUCUUUCUGGUGUUUUUCUAAGACCUGGGAUGUUUGCCAGGCACACUGUCAGUUCUUAUCUUACAGCCAGGGUCACAGAGAGGUUAAUGUUUGGCCCAUGGGUGGUCAGACCUACCCAUGCAGACCCAUUUAACCUCAUAGCCACCUCUCCUGGUCAGACCUACCCAUGCAGACCCAUUUAACCUCAUAGCCUCCUCUCCUGGUCAGACCUAAACAGACAGACCACUUUAACCUCAUAGCCUCCUCUCCUGGUCAGACCUAAACAGACAGACCACUUUAACCUCAUAGCCACCUCUCCUGGUCAGACCUAAACAGACAGACCACUUUAACCUCAUAGCCUCCUCUCCUGGUCAGACCUAAACAGACAGACCUGAGGGUCUCAGGACCUGGGAUUAUAGGACCAUAGCCACCUCUCCUGGUCAGACAGACCUGAGGACCUGGGACUAUAGGACCAUAGCCACCUCUCCUGGUCAGACAGGACUAAUAUUCCUGGUCUCAGGACUAAUACUAAGCCACUCUGACUACAAUCUGGUCCGGUUUCCCAGAUCCGUACUAAGCCACUCUGACAACAAUCUGGUCCGGUUUCCCAGAUCCAUACUUAGCCUCUCUGACUACAAUCUGGUCCGGUUUCCCAGAUCCAUACUAAGCCGCUCUGACUACAUUAUGAUCCAUACUGCAUUGAUAAUCACUUAAUAUGUGCCUGUAGUGUUCAUAUCAGUGUGGUUAAGGGUAGGUCUGUGUGUAUAAGGGCAGGUCUAUGUGUGUAUCAGGUCUAUGUGUAUGAGGGCAGGUCUAUGUGUGUAUGAGGGCAGGUCUAUGUGUGUAUCAGGGCAGGUCUAUGUGUGUAUCAGGUCUAUGUGUGUAUCAGGGCAGGUCUAUGUGUGUAUCAGGGCAGGUCUAUGUGUGUAUGAGGGCAGGUCUAUGUGUGUAUGAGGGCAGGUCUAUGUGUGUAUCAGGGCAGGUCUAUGUGUGUAUCAGGGCAGGCCUAUGUGCUUCCUGCUACUACCAUGACAGGUCAAAUAUUACUGUAGACGACCCUUCCUGCUACUACCAGCUGCUGGCCCAGUUGCUGUUGUCACAGCUGGACCCAGUCAGAGUCUAAUAGAGCUAAUACAACAUAUUAAAGAUGGCCGCCUCUAGUCCACAUGACAGGUCAAAUAUUACUGUAGACGACCCGUACGUAAACAGUGUGUAACGGGAACAUGGGUAAUGAGGCUGUGAUUAAAAGGCAUGCGGUCAGUCAGAGACACCCUGUUGUGAUUGGCUGGCCUGUAAUCCUCUCUGUGAUUGGCUGGAUUACUGAGUCAUGGUGUUGGGGUGAAGGCAUUCCUGAAGCUGUCAGUAGACCCCGCUCACUAAUGACAGGCAUUGGUCAGAGUAGGAGUCUGAAGACAUGGCUGUUUAUGAAAGACUAGAUAUGAGACUGACUAGCUGAUCAUUGUUCUCACUCUCUGUCUGUCACUGUCUCUGUCUGUCUCUCACUCUUUGUGUCUCUGUCUCUCUCUCUCUGUUUCGCUCUCUCUCUUGCUCCAUCUCUCUCUCUCUCUCUCUCUCUCCUCUAGGUCAUAUUAUGUCUAUAUACUGUGUUGUCUCUCCCUCCUCUAGGUGUUUGGAGUCCAGGCUGGUUUGACCUGUCCUCUCCCUCCCUCCUCUAGGUGUUUGGAGUCCAGGCUGGUUUGACCUGUCCUCUCUCUCCCUCCUCUAGGUGUUUGGAGUCCAGGCUGGUUUGACCUGUCCUCUCUCUCCCUCCUCUAGGUGUUUGGAGUCCAGGCUGGUUUGACCUGUCUGGACAGUACAGGCGGUUUCCUCCCUCUGUCCCCUCUCAUCCCUUCCUUCAGUACAGCCCUCUAUGGCAAGCUGCUCCAGAUGCCUCAGUACUGGUGAGUACCGCUACUCUGAUUUAGUCAUUUGGAUGUGUUUAUGUAGGUAUCUUCUACCUGGUGUUCAAGGUGCUUCGGUAUGUAGGGGGACAGGAACUCACCUCAUCUACUACCAGUGUGGAGAAACCACCUAAGUGAUGCCACGGCAGCCAUUUUGUUCACCACUUGGGUGAUGCCACGGCAGCCAUUUUGUUC
ensembl:lncRNA